UUACGCCUGUUUAUCAAAAACAUGUCCUCUUGAAUAAUAAUUUGAGGUCUGGCCUGCUCACUGAUAAUUUAAAGAGCCGCGGUAUUUUGACCGUGCAAAGGUAGCAUAAUCAUUAGUCUCUUAAUUAGGGGCUGGAAUGAAUGGCUUGACGAGAAAUUAACUGUCUCAUAAUAAAUUUUAAAAUUUAACUUUUGAGUUAAAAGGCUUAAAUUUUCCUUUAGGACGAGAAGACCCUAUAGAGCUUGACAUCUAAUUUAAAUAAAUUUUUUAGUUGAUUUUUAUUUAUUUGAUGAUGAUGUUUUGUUGGGGUGACAUGAAGAAUAAAUAAACUCUUCGUUAAUAAAUCAUUAAUUUAUGUGUUUUUGAUCCAUAAUUUAUGAUCAUAAGAUUAAGUUACCUUAGGGAUAACAGCGUAAUUGUUUUUGAGAGCUCAUAUCGACAAAACAGAUUGCGACCUCGAUGUUGGAUUAAGAUAAAUUUUGGGUGUAGUAGUCCAUAAAUUAGGUCUGUUCGACCUUUAAAUUCUUACGUGAUCUGAGUUCAGACAA
rnacentral:rRNA from 1 species